GAUGAAAUUUUUGUCUAGACUUGUCUAGAUCAAAACUUAGUCUAUAAUGCAAAUGGUCCAUUAACUUUCCCUAAAUUAACUUUUUUUCUCAAAUUCCACUCUUGUGCAUCAUCUUUUUUUAUCUGCCACCCCCUUCCCCCCUCCCCAGAAUAUCUAUCAUCUAAUGGGCCACCCCUGAAAAACGGGCUUACAGUGUGACUUUACCGAACACCACAAGAUUCUUGUGGAUCAGUAAGGGAUGGCUCUUACUGGUCUCUAGCGAGAACAAUAUAGGACAGAUAAACUCUAUCAAGUAUAAAUAAAAUUAAUUCUAUUUAGACUCAGUCAAUAUAAGAUUGUUUACGUCUU